rnacentral:rRNA from 1 species
UGGGGAAUAUUGCACAAUGGGGGAAACCCUGAUGCAGCGACGCCGCGUGAGGGAAGAAGGUAUUCGUAUUGUAAACCUCUGUCUUCGGGGACGAUAAUGACGGUACCCGAGGAGGAAGCACCGGCUAACUACGUGCCAGCAGCCGCGGUAAAACGUAGGGUGCUAGCGUUGUCCGGAAUUACUGGGUGUAAAGGGAGCGCAGGCGGUCUGUUAAGUUGGAAGUUAAAUCUACGGGCUCAACUCGUAUACGCUUUCAAAACUGAUAGACUUGAGUGAAGUAGAGGUAGGCGGAAUUUCCGGUGUAGCGGUGGAAUGCGUAGAUAUCGGAAGGAACACCAGUGGCGAAGGCGGCCUACUGGGCUUUUACUGACGCUGAGGCUCGAAAGC